UAUUAUUGGAGGAGACUUGAGUCAAAAGAAAUCUCUCUCUCUCCGCACUCGCGUAGGUGCCUCUUCCGAGUUCCUUCGUCCUGAAAAACCUAAAUCACGACACGCGCCACCACUCCCUAAUCGCACACGCCGCCAAUGGCUAACCCUCCCACGCUGCCGAUCUCAACUGCCCAGGCAACCUCAACGGGCGCGACCCAAUCGCAGCCCCCGAUAGCCACGCCGGCAUUCCGCGCAUUCAUUUCACGCCUGUCGGCGUCGAUCCGAAGUGGCCUCUCUCAACGCCGGCCAUGGUCGGAGCUCAUCGAUCGGACCUCCAUGGCCCGACCGGAGUCCCUAACCGAAGCCUACUCCCGGAUCCGCAAGAAUCUCUCUUACUUCAAGGUGAAUUACGUGACAAUACUGUCAAUCGUACUGGCCCUCUCGCUGCUUUCUCAUCCGUUCUCUCUCCUCGUCCUCCUUGGACUCCUUGCAUCGUGGUUGUUCCUCUACAUCUUCCGGCCCUCCGAUCAGCCCCUUGUCAUCUUCGGCCGUACGUUCUCUGAUCGAGAAACCCUAGGUGCGUUGGUUGUGCUGACCAUUAUUGUCGUGUUUUUGACCAGCGUGGGAUCCCUCCUCAUCUCUGCGUUGAUGGUUGGCCUUGCGAUCGUUUGUCUACAUGGUGCGUUUAGGGUUCCUGAGGAUCUGUUCUUGGACGACCAAGAGCCUGCCAGCGCCGGAUUCCUCUCAUUUCUAGGCGGCGCCGCCUCGUCCGCGGCCGCAGCGGCUGCCCCAGUCGCUGCACGUGUGUAAAACCCGGAGAUCGGAAUCUUGGCCGCACACGUCUUUGUAUUGGGUAAUUGGUUUUUUCCCCCAAAAUUUUGUAUCAGGAGGAGAGUCUUGUUGAGACAUUGAUUUUAAGGUAAUAUACAGUCAGAAUUGGGUAAUGGAGAUGCACUGGGCUUAAGAACGGCACUUAACAGAGAAUAGAUCUUCAUGAGAGCUAUUUUUGUUUCCUGCAUUUUCAUUUUCUCCCAUAUGUCUAGAUUCAAGAGAAGUAAUGUCUUGCUAAAUGGAGGCAGAGAUAAUCAGUUCAUGGUAAUAUAUCCUUGGUUGUUUUAGCAUAUGAUGAAAAUUCACAUGGCUUAUUGAACAAAUUAGAACGUGAUAGUUAUUUGCAGAUUGUGUAUGGAUAGAGUGGGUGUUAUUGAAA